AUUGAACGCUGGCGGCAGGCCUAACACAUGCAAGUCGAGCGGAUGAAGGGAGCUUGCUCCUGGAUUCAGCGGCGGACGGGUGAGUAAUGCCUAGGAAUCUGCCUGGUAGUGGGGGAUAACGUCCGGAAACGGGCGCUAAUACCGCAUACGUCCUGAGGGAGCAAGUGGGGGAUCUUCGGACCUCACGCUAUCAGAUGAGCCUAGGUGGGAUUAGCUAGUUGGUGGGGUAAAGGCCUACCAAGGCGACGAUCCGUAACUGGUCUGAGAGGAUGAUCAGUCACACUGGAACUGAGACACGGUCCAGAGUCCUACGGGAGGCAGCAGUGGGGAAUAGUGGACAAUGGGCGAAAGCCUGAUCCAGCCAUGCCGCGUGUGUGAAGAAGGUCUUCGGAUUGUAAAGCACUUUAAGUUGGGAGGAAGGGCAGUAAGUUAAUACCUUGCUGUUUUGACGUUACCAACAGAAUAAGCACCGGCUAACUUCGUG
rnacentral:rRNA from 1 species